UACAGAGGUCUCAAGCAUUGUUCGGAUUCAUUGGGCGUAAAGGGUGCGUAGGUGGCGCCGUAAGUCAGGUGUGAAAUUUCGGAGCUUAACUCCGAAACUGCAUUUGAUACUGCGGUGCUUGAGGACUGGAGAGGAGACUGGAAUUUACGGUGUAGCAGUGAAAUGCGUAGAGAUCGUAAGGAAGACCAGUGGCGAAGGCGGGUCUCUGGACAGUUCCUGACACUGAGGCACGAAGGCCAGGGGAGCAAACGGG
rnacentral:rRNA from 1 species